CCCUUAGAUGUUCUGGGCCGCACGCGCGCUACACUGACGAAUGCAACGAGCUUAUAACCUUGGCCGAAAGGUCUGGGUAAUCUCCAAAUUUCGUCGUGAUGGGGAUAGAUUAUUGCAAUUAUUAAUCUCCAACGAGGAAUGCCUAGUAAGCGCAAGUCAUCAGCUUGCGUUGAUUACGUCCCUGCCCUUUGUACACACCGCCCGUCGCUCCUACCGAUUGAAUGGUCCGGUGAAGCGUUCGGACCGUGGCCUUUGGACGGUUCGCCGUCUGUUGGCUGCGGGAAGUUCGUUAAACCUUAUCAUUUAGAGGAAGGAGAAGUCGUAACA
rnacentral:rRNA from 1 species